rnacentral:rRNA from 1 species
GACGAACGCUGGCGGUGUGCUUAACACAUGCAAGUCGAACGGUAAGGCCCUUUCGGGGGUACACGAGUGGCGAACGGGUGAGUAACACGUGAGUAACCUGCCCUCAUCUCUGGGAUAACAGUCGGAAACGGUUGCUAAUACUGGAUAUGAGCUUGCAAGGCAUCUUGUGGGUUGGAAAGAUUUUUUUGGUUGGGGAUGGACUUGCGGCCUAUCAGCUUGUUGGUGAGGUAGUGGCUCACCAAGGCUUCGACGGGUAGCCGGCCUGAGAGGGCGACCGGCCACAUUGGGACUGAGAUACGGCCCAAACUCCUACGGGAGGCAGCAGUGGGGAAUAUUGCACAAUGGACGGAAGUCUGAUGCAGCAACGCCGCGUGCGGGAUGACGGCCUUCGGGUUGUAAACCGCUUUCAAUUGUGACGAAGCUUUUUGUGACGGUAGCAGUAGAAGAAGCACCGGCUAACUACGUG